GUGCCAGCAGCCGCGGUAAUACGAAGGGGGCUAGCGUUGCUCGGAAUUACUGGGCGCAAAGCGCACGUAGGCGGCUUUCUAAGUCGGGGGUGAAAUCCUGGAGCUCAACUCCAGAACUGCCUUUGAUACUGGCGAUCUUGAGUCCGGGAGAGGUGAGUGGAACUGCGAGUGUAGAGGUGAAAUUCGUAGAUAUUCGCAAGAACACCAGUGGCGAAGGCGGCUCACUGGCCCGGUACUGACGCUGAGGUGCGAAAGCGUGGGGAGCAAACAGGAUUAGAAACCCCAGUAGUCC
rnacentral:rRNA from 1 species